UGCAAAGAUAAAUAUUUAGAUUAUAACAGCUAAGAAACAGGAUGUUUUGUUUCUGAGGUUAUUCAUGCAGGUGAAUGCCAGUCAAACGCCACGCAUUUGUUAGAGGUAUUUUAGAGGACAAGGGUGAAUCAGGUUGUAUAACGCUUCAGAAAAGAAAGGGAAAAAGGGAAAUUGUAUCAUACUUUUUGAUUCACAUUUGUCACGGAAUAAAAGGACUAUGUGUUUAGCACACGUUCUCAUUUUAGUUGUGAUGGUUACCAUUACUGAUGCUUUAGAUGGAGGCUGCCUAUCACCUAAAUUUAGGGUUAAACCGACACAUGAUGCUGUUGCAGUAGUUGGCGGGACACAUCAAUUUCGGUGCAUAGUUAGAGGCAGACCGGCACCUUACAUAAAAUGGUUUUCUAAAGAUAAAAUUGUAUCUCAGAAGAAAAAGUAA